rnacentral:lncRNA from 1 species
CUGUAAACAAGCCAUUAAAAAUGUGUUUAUGACAUCACAGUUGGUGACCAUGGAAAUGACUUUGAUGUUAGAAAGACAAAUAUAGCAUCGUGAUUUCAUGGCAAGAUCAAGGCUGGAGAAGACCCUUGUUCAAAUGGCGGGUAAUUAACAAAGGUGAUGGAGGGGAAGCUUGAAAAAAACUGAAAGGCCAAUUGACCGAAUAUGUUGCAUUUUAAAGUUUCCCUCAGCACAGGACAGGUUUGGGAGCUCUUCACUUCCUAUGGUCACACUAUGCAUGCGUGGAAAAUUAAUGCCAACAACAAAAUAUCAUCAAGGACACCAGCACCCACCUGGGGAGCACCAUUGCAGGGCUGUGACUGUCAGCAGGUGAGAAGCAUCAUUGGUUGCAAAGAGUUAAACCUGUGUUCUCUGGGGUGGGCUUGAAACACAGAGCUGUUGGGUAUAUCUCAUGUCGUCUGAUUUGGAGAUGGGUAUUUUUUUCCCUUGCAGCUGAGGAGGCUUAUUGCAGUGUUGAGUUCUGAGUGCAGGGUUAGAGACUGUGCUGUAUAUUUACCAGAUGGUGGAUUUGGUCUGUGUGCUUAUUUCUGCCUUUUCUCUUUCUUUUUUUAAUGGUUGUUAAAUUCAUUAUUUAGAGGGGAAGCCUAUAUAAAUGUGUACCUGCUCUAAGGUUCUAGAAAGGCAGCAAGCAGGGGAAGGUGAAGAAGCAGUGCUGUGCUAAAACACGUAUAUUUGAAGACUGUUUUAAGUGCAUCCUGUUAGUAUCAGAGACCUGGCAGUGACUUCUACCUGUGGCAGGUGAUGCUGAGGCUUUCUGUACAGCUGUACCUAUUUCAGUGCCAUCCUUGCUGCAGUUUCUACCGCAUCAUCCCUUCUCCUUAAGCGCAGAAAGUCACAGGGCUGCUCCCCUGGGGUGCCCCAGCAUCAGCAGUAUUAGUGACAAGGUGACAGGGACUGCCAAAUGGACAGAUCCAGGAUGGGUUGGGGGGCUGGAGGGGGCUUAGGCUGGGUGUGGGGGGCUGCUAUGGGCCUCCGGUCUCCUAAAUAGAUGAGAGGGUCUCCAAAACAGAUUUCCAGCCCGGGAGGGGGGGGUGGGGACGGGACAAUGCG